rnacentral:rRNA from 1 species
UCAAGCGUGAGGUAAGAGCAUUUGGUGGAUGCCUUGGCACAUACAGGCGAUGAAGGACGUGGCACGCUGCGAUAAGCGUCGGGGAGUUGUGAGCAAACUUUGAUCCGGCGAUUUCCGAAUGGGGAAACCCACCUUCACCAUUUCAUUCCGGUUCCGGUAACGGGGUCUGAGUGAGGUGGAUAAGGUAUCCCAGGUUGAAUAAAAUAGACCUGGUGAAGCGAACCCGGGGAACUGAAACAUCUCAGUACCUGGAGGAAAAGACAUCAACCGAGAUUCCGUUAGUAGUGGCGAGCGAACGCGGACCAGGCCAGUGCCUCAUCUUCAACUAGCAGAACACUUUGGAAAGAGUGGCCAUAGCGGGUGACAGCCCCGUAUGCGAAAGUGAUGGAUGAGGACUCGAGUAGGGCGGGACACGUGAAAUCCUGUCUGAACAUGGGGGGACCACCCUCCAAGCCUAAAUACUCGUAUGUGACCGAUAGCGAACACAGUACCGUGAGGGAAAGGUGAAAAGCACCCCGAUGAGGGGAGUGAAACAGUACCUGAAACCGAAUGCUUACAAGCAGUGGGAGCUCCAUAGGGAGUGACCGCGUACCUCUUGCAUAAUGGGUCAGUGACUUAAUUUAUCGAGCAAGCUUAAGCCGUUAGGUGUAGGCGCAGCGAAAGCGAGUCUGAAUAGGGCGACUGAGUUCGAUGAAUUAGACCCGAAACCCGGUGAUCUAGGCAUGACCAGGCUGAAGGUGCGGUAACACGCACUGAAGGGCCGAACCGUUGAAUGUUGAAAAAUUCUCGGAUGAGUUGUGUUUAGGGGUGAAAGGCCAAUCAAACCGGGAAAUAGCUGGUUCUCCGCGAAAUCUAUUGAGGUAGAGCGUCGAAUAUUUGCCGUUGGGGGUAGAGCACUGGAUGGGUGCGGGGGUCGCGAGAUCUACCAAUCCUAACCAAACUCCGAAUACCAACGAGUCUAGUUCGGCAGACAGACGGCGGGUGCUAAGGUCCGUCGUCAAAAGGGAAACAGCCCUAACCUACAGCUAAGGUCCCCAAGUCAUCACUAAGUGGGAAAGCAUGUGGGAUUUCCAAAACAACCAGGAGGUUGGCUUAGAAGCAGCCAUCCUUUAAAGAAAGCGUAACAGCUCACUGGUCUAAAUAAGAGAUCCUGCGGCGAAAAUGUAUCGGGGCUAAAGUGAUGCACCGAAGCUUAGGGUUCAGCAGCAAUGCUGAGCGGUAGCGGAGCGUUCCGUAAGCGAGUGAAGCGGGAGGGUAACCGACCGUGGACGUAUCGGAAGUGCGAAUGCUGACAUGAGUAGCGACAAAGAGGGUGAGAUGCCCUCUCGCCGAAAGACCAAGGGUUCCUGCUUAAAGCUAAUCUGAGCAGGGUAAGCCGGCCCCUAAGACGAGCCCGAAGGGGGUAGUCGAUGGGAACCACGUUAAUAUUCGUGGGCCUGGUGGUGUGUGACGGAUCACGUGUGUUGUCUGACCUUAUUGGAUUGGUCAGGCUUCGAAGAGGUUCCAGGAAAUAGCCCCACCGUAUAGACCGUACCCGAAACCGACACAGGUGGUCAGGUAGAGUAUACCAAGGCGCUUGAGAGAAGUAUCCUGAAGGAACUCGGCAAAUUGCUCCCGUACCUUCGGAAGAAGGGAGACCCUUUUUCGGGCAACCGAAUCAGGGUGGCACAGAGCAGGGGGUUGCGACUGUUUAUCAAAAACACAGGACUCUGCAAACUCGAAAGAGGAUGUAUAGGGUCUGACGCCUGCCCGGUGCUGGAAGGUUAAAAGGAGGAGUGCAAGCUCUGAAUUGAAGCCCCAGUAAACGGCGGCCGUAACUAUAACGGUCCUAAGGUAGCGAAAUUCCUUGUCGGGUAAGUUCCGACCCGCACGAAUGGCGUAACGACAUCCCCACUGUCUCCAGGAUAUGCUCAGCGAAAUUGAAUUCUCCGUGAAGAUGCGGAGUUCCCGUGGUCAGACGGAAAGACCCCGUGCACCUUUACUACAGCUUUGCAGUGGUCAUAGGGUUCAUUUGUGUAGGAUAGGUGGGAGGCUUUGAAGCCGCGGCGCUAGCCGUGGUGGAGCCAACCUUGAAAUACCACCCUGAUGGACUUUAUGAUCUAACCUCUGGGACAGUGCUUGGCAGGUGGUAUCGUGACUGGGAAAC